UGGGGAAUCUUGGACAAUGGGGGCAACCCUGAUCCAGCGAUGCCGCGUGAGCGAAGAAGGCCUUAGGGUUGUAAAGCUCUUUCGCCCGCGACGAUGAUGACGGUAGCGGGAGAAGAAGCCCCGGCUAACUCCGUGCCAGCAGCCGCGGUAAUACGGAGGGGGCUAGCGUUGUCCGGAAUUACUGGGCGUAAAGCGCGCGUAGGCGGUCCACCAAGUCGGGGGUGAAAGCCCGGGGCUCAACCCCGGAAUGUCCUCCGAGACUGUUGGACUGGAGUUCGGGAGAGGAGAGCGGAAUUCCCAGUGUAGAGGUGAAAUUCGUAGAUAUUGGGAAGAACACUGGUGGCGAAGGCGGCUCUCUGGCCCGCAACUGACGCUGAGGCGCGAAAGCGUGGGGAGCAAAC
rnacentral:rRNA from 1 species